AGUUAAUUAGCUUAUAUGAAAGCAGUAUGCCUUGAAAGCAUACUAUAGAAGUUAAACUCUUCUAUUAACUU
rnacentral:tRNA from 1 species